rnacentral:rRNA from 1 species
UAGGGAAUCUUCCACAAUGGACGCAAGUCUGAUGGAGCAACGCCGCGUGAGUGAAGAAGGCUUUCGGGUCGUAAAACUCUGUUAUUGAAGAAGAACGUGUGUGACAGUAACUGGUCAUGCAGUGACGGUAUUCAAUCAGAAAGUCACGGCUAACUACGUGCCAGCAGCCGCGGUAAUACGUAGGUGGCAAGCGUUGUCCGGAUUUAUUGGGCGUAAAGCGAGUGCAGGCGGUCUUUUAAGUCUGAUGUGAAAGCCUUCGGCUUAACCGAAGAAGGGCAUCGGAAACUGGGAGACUUGAGUGCAGAAGAGGAGAGUGGAACUCCAUGUGUAGCGGUGAAAUGCGUAGAUAUAUGGAGAAACACCCAAGUUGGGCGAAGGCGGCUCUCUGGUCUGUAACUGACGCUGAGGCUCGAAAGCGUGGGUAGCAAACAGGAUUAGAUACCCUGGUAGUCCACGCCGU